rnacentral:rRNA from 1 species
AUUGAACGCUGGCGGCAGGCCUAACACAUGCAAGUCGAACGAGUGGCGGACGGGUGAGUAAUGUCUGGGAAACUGCCCGAUGGAGGGGGAUAACUACUGGAAACGGUAGCUAAUACCGCAUACCAUCGGAUGUGCCCAGAGGGGAUUAGCUGGUAGGUGAGGUAACGGCUCACCUAGGCGACGAUCCCUAGCUGGGCUGAGAGGAUGACCAGCCAAACUGGAACUGAGACACGGUCCAGACUCCGACGGGAGGCAGUAUGGGGGAAUAGUGCACAAUGGGGGGAAGCCGGAUGCAGCCAUGCCGCGGGUAUGAAGAAGGCAUUCGGGUUGUAAAGUACUUGCAGCGGGGAGGCGUUACCCGCAGAAGAAGCACCGGCUAACUCCGUGCCAGCAGCCGCGGUAAUUC